rnacentral:rRNA from 1 species
GUCGGACGAAGUAGCAAUACUUAGUGGCAGACGGGUGAGUAACAUGUAGGUAUCUACCCUAUGGCCUGGAAUAACACGAGGAAACUUGUGCUAAUACUGGAUAAGUCUUUACGGAGAAAGCUUUAUGCACCAUUGGAUGAGCCUGCACUUGAUUAGUUUGUUGGUAGGGUAAUGGCCUACCAAGACUUAGAUCAAUAGCUGAUUUGAGAGGAUGAUCAGCCACAUUGGAACUGAGACACGGCCCAAACUCCUACGGGAGGCAGCAGUGGGGAAUCUUGCACAAUGGAGGAAACUCUGAUGCAGCGAUGCCGCGUGAGUGAAGAAGGCCCUUGGGUUGUAAAGCUCUUUCGUCGGGGAAGAAAAUGACUGUACCCGAAUAAGAAGGUCCGGCUAACUUCGUGCCAGCAGCCGCGGUAAUACGAAGGGACCUAGCGUAGUUCGGAAUUACUGGGCUUAAAGAGUUCGUAGGUGGUUGAAAAAGUUGGUGGUGAAAUCCCAGAGCUUAACUCUGGAACUGCCAUCAAAACUUUUCAGCUAGAGUUUGAUAGAGGAAAGCAGAAUUUCUAGUGUAGAGGUGAAAUUCGUAGAUAUUAGAAAGAAUACCAAUUGCGAAGGCAGCUUUCUGGAUCAUUACUGACACUGAGGAACGAAAGCAUGGGUAGCGAAGAGGAUUAGAUACCCUCGUAGUCCAUGCCGUANACGAUGUGUGUUAGACGUUGGAAAUUUAUUUUCAGUGUCGCAGCGAAAGCAAUAAACACACCGCCUGGGGAGUACGAC